UACGUAGGGAGCGAGCGUUGUCCGGAAUUACUGGGUGUAAAGGGAGCGUAGGCGGGAUUGCAAGUCAGGUGUGAAAUUUAGGGGCUUAACCCCUGAACUGCACUUGAAACUGUAGUUCUUGAGUGAAGUAGAGGUAAGCGGAAUUCCUAGUGUAGCGGUGAAAUGCGUAGAUAUUAGGAGGAACAUCAGUGGCGAAGGCGGCUUACUGGGCUUUAACUGACGCUGAGGCUCGAAAGCGUGGGGAGCAAAC
rnacentral:rRNA from 1 species